UGGAGGCUACACCGACAAACCG
rnacentral:misc_RNA from 1 species